ACAAAAAAAACAAGACAUAAUAAAUCUGAUUACUGUUACAUAAGCAAGCAAUAUAUGAGUACAUAGCGUUUACACUUGAACCAAACUUCAAAGUAUUCAAAUUAUUCACUUCAACAAAACAGCAAAGGUCUCUUAGAGUCUUCAGUCUUGGACAUGAACUUGGACUGUUGGGCAGCAAAGAACAAAAACAGCAAGGAUAUUUUAGUGUACACAUGAUUUUCUUUAGGCAGCCGGCAGGGACCAGGGUCGCUCACUCGCUCCUCGGAUUGGAGGGACGCUGACGCAGGAUUCUUGGAGACCGGCAGACGACAGGGAGCCAGGGACGCUGACGCAGGAGCAGGAUUGGAGCCUCGCAGGUGCUCUGCCUUUCCAUCCAGUACAAAGCAAAGUCUGAAUAUUUACAGGGUAAUGAAAACAGCAAAUAAUGAAAAAACUGAAAAACUAGUGAAGUACUACGGAUUACCCUCGUGUGCUAGGCCUUUCAUCCGUACAUCAUUAACGAUGCCUUGCAGAAGUUAUUGUUGUGGUGUGCACCUGUUAUCAAAGAUUCACUAGCAUCUCUCCUUCCACAAAUUCCAAGCACUGUAGGUUAUUGUACUUGCUCGCUGCACCUCAUCCCCUAUUGGAGGGAUUGCCGGAUUGGAUACUGGCUGGCCGGCGCUCGGUUUUGGUGGUGGCGGCUGAUGGUGGAGGCUGGCUGGCGGCUGGCGCUCGGUUUCUGGUGGUGGCGGCUGAGAGACAGAGAGACG
rnacentral:lncRNA from 1 species